rnacentral:rRNA from 1 species
AUGAUACUACUUGAUGAAGAGGGUACUAUGAUACAUGGCAAGGUAAUGAAGCAUAUGGUUAACAAGUUCAGACCAUUGAUCCGAGAAGGUUUAGUCUACAUGAUAUCAAAUUUUAAGGUUAUGUCUGCAAUGAAUUUCCGCCCAGUUGAAAGCGAAAAGGUUCUAAAUUUCUUGCACACGACAAAAAUUCAAGAGAUAAAAGGUAAAAAUAUCAAAAUAGCAGAACAAAGCUUCACGUUUUGUACUGUUGAAGUUCUUUCCACAAGAGACAGCCAAAAGAUUUACUUAUCUGAUGUCAUUGGCAUAGCAUGUUACAUAGGACAUAUUGAAGAAACACAGACAACCCACGGGAUUUCAAAGAUUCGAGAUAUUGUGCUUCGGAUUGAGUGA